GAGACUGGGGCUUAAUGGUUAGAGCGUCCACCUCGGAUGCGUGAGGUUGCGAGUUCAAACCCCGGCAGUCAUACCA